rnacentral:rRNA from 1 species
ACUCCUACGGGAGGCAGCAGCAGGGAAUAUUGCACAAUGGGCGCAAGCCUGAUGCAGCGACGCCGCGUGAGGGAUGAAGGCUUUCGAGUUGUAAACCUCUUUCAGUGGGGAAGAAGCGCAAGUGACGGUACCCACACAAGAAGNCCGGCCAACUAC